rnacentral:rRNA from 1 species
UGAGGAAUAUUGGUCAAUGGUCGGCAGACUGAACCAGCCAAGUCGCGUGAGGGAAGACGGCCCUACGGGUUGUAAACCUCUUUUGUCGGAGAGUAAAGUGCGCUACGCGUAGCGUAUUGCAAGUAUCCGAAGAAAAAGCAUCGGCUAACUCCGUGCCAGCAGCCGCGGUAAUACGGAGGAUGCGAGCGUUAUCCGGAUUUAUUGGGUUUAAAGGGUGCGUAGGCGGCACGCCAAGUCAGCGGUGAAAUUUCCGGGCUCAACCCGGACUGUGCCGUUGAAACUGGCGAGCUAGAGUGCACAAGAGGCAGGCGGAAUGCGUGGUGUAGCGGUGAAAUGCAUAGAUAUCACGCAGAACCCCGAUUGCGAAGGCAGCCUGCUAGGGUGCGACAGACGCUGAGGCACGAAAGCGUGGGUAUCGAACAGGAUUAGAUACCCUGGUAGUCCACGCAGUAAACGAUGAAUACUAACUGUUUGCGAUACAAUGUAAGCGGUACAGCGAAAGCGUUAAGUAUUCCACCUGGGGAGUACGCCGGCAACGGUGAAACUCAAAGGAAUUGACGGGGGCCCGCACAAGCGGAGGAACAUGUGGUUUAAUUCGAUGAUACGCGAGGAACCUUACCCGGGCUCAAACGCAGGGGGAAUAUAUAUGAAAGUAUAUAGCUAGCAAUAGUCACCUGCGAGGUGCUGCAUGGUUGUCGUCAGCUCGUGCCGUGAGGUGUCGGCUUAAGUGCCAUAACGAGCGCAACCCCUAUCGACAGUUACUAACGGGUAAAGCCGAGGACUCUGUCUAGACUGCCGGCGCAAGCCGCGAGGAAGGUGGGGAUGACGUCAAAUCAGCACGGCCCUUACGUCCGGGGCGACACACGUGUUACAAUGGCAGGUACAGAAGGCAGCCAGUCAGCAAUGACGCGCGAAUCCCGAAAACCUGUCUCAGUUCGGAUUGGAGUCUGCAACCCGACUCCAUGAAGCUGGAUUCGCUAGUAAUCGCGCAUCAGCCAUGGCGCGGUGAAUACGUUCCC